rnacentral:lncRNA from 1 species
UGUGACGUCACAGGGGCGGUGUAGUGCCUGGAGAUGGUCAGUCUUCUGACAGUGGAGCCUGGUAACCACCACCUCCUCUCCAGGUCCUGUGUAUUGCUGGCUGGAGAAGGGUAGUUGACAAACUCCCACCCAGCACAGUGUGUAUGUCUGUCAAAAAUAGGAAACUGUGUCCGGUGGCGGCCGAGACGGGAGGAUCCUUUCAGGCCAAGAGCAGCCUGUUAACCUGGCGCGACCCCAUCUCUUUAGUCUCACCUCAGCUUCCCAGCUACUUGAACCCCGGUUCAAGGCUCCAGUGAGCUAUGACCCCACCACAGCACUCCAGCCUGCGAGACUGAGGGCUUGAGGAUCAGCCAGCUUUAAUGAGGUACAUGCAGAUCUGAAUCAUACCAAGCUGAGAUUGGGGUACACGCUCUCCUCUACUGAAAAGUAGGGAGGGAUUCCAACGUGGUUAGAGGGAGAGUGGGGCAGAACCAGACCAGAUAAGGAGUGGUCACCUGGAAAAAGCCUGCCACCAAAGGCCUU